rnacentral:rRNA from 1 species
UCCCAAGGUGAGCUCAGCCGGGACAGAAACCUGGCGUGGAGUAGAAGGGCAAAAGCUCACUUGAUGCUGAUUUUCAGUACGAAUACACACCGUGAAAGCGUGGCCUAUC